rnacentral:lncRNA from 1 species
UUUUUAUAUACUAAACUAUUACAUUCUUUCUGCAAUGAGGUAGGUAGGAACAAAUAGAUUUAAUUGCAAAUACAUUAUGAAAUUUGAUCUUCACACAAUCUUAUGAGGAAGAUAAAGCAGAGUUUAUCAUUUUCAUGAAUGAAUCGCAGGCAGGGAGAGAUUACCUCUCUUGCUUCCAUUUUUUUUUUUUUUUUAAUUUAGGAACCAUAUACCUUUAUUGAAAGGAAUGGUAAACUUGGAAGAAAGAAAAUUUUAAGUGAAUGGUUUUCAAGGGCAAUGUUGCGGUAUGCAUGCCCAGCAUGGUGAUGGGGAGGUGGGGGGAGUCACCCUGUGGCUACGUGGAAGGUGGACAAGUUCUUCCUGCUGUGCACCAUGCUGGGCUUGCCAUCCUGCGCAGGGCCCCCAUCCAACUCAGCUUGGUGAGAGCUACAUACUCUUUGAAGGACUUGACCUGCUUGUGGAGGGAGGGACGCUUCGGGAGCUGCCACAGGUGGGAGUCGUUCCCAUCAGUGGCCAGCUGUUGCUGAUAAAGGAAGCUGGUCACUUGCUUCUCCAGCUGGAAGGCGCAAGCCAAAGCUUUCGAGGUGCUUCGCAGCGGGCAGUCCUGGAGCUUGGUUUCUGCGGAGGCUAUGCGGCCACGCGGAUACCGCGGCCACCUGGUCUUCUUCCUCCGGGAGUUCCCUCUCCUCCCUCUCCAACCGGGGCUGGUGCGGGAAGGACCUACGGAGCGCUUCAAAGGCCAAGUCGUCCUGGAAGUACAGGCAGGAGGCAUAAAGCACCAGGUGAAACCAAAUCCUCCUGCUAACACUACCGGUCUUAAGUAUGGAAUGUGGGUAAGGGGAAGAAGAAGAAGGAAGAGCAGAGACU